GCCUUGCCUAUAUACCUGUAAAGCCAAAGCUAUACUCUUUUCUUUUUUCUCCAGGGGGGAUUUUAUCAACAGCAGCAUAUUUCCCACAUGGCAAACGCGCGUCUCGCUUUGGAGAGGUCAGAAGAGGUGUGAGCUCAGCCCGAUUCCUGAUCCAUCACCAACUCUGACUCAAGUCCAUGAAGGCGCGCAGGGAGCAGCAUGGGGAGGACGCGCGCUUCCACACACACACACACACAUCAUCAUCAUCAUCGGCCUCAUCAUCGUCACCUUAACACGUCGUGAUCAAGUGGACAAUAUCUUCACACUCAAAGAGGGAAAAAAGCAAACGAAUCCAGUGCAGAGAAAAGCCUCCAGGAGCUGUUAAGGCUCAACAAUCCCAUCCAAACAGAUGUGUCCAGAUGUGUGUACCUGGCCAGGGGAUCCUCUGGGUGCUGGUGCUCCGUCGUACCUCCCCCGGC